UACAGAGGUGGCAAGCGUUGUUCGGAAUUACUGGGCGUAAAGGGCGCGUAGGCGGCCUUUUAAGUCAGACGUGAAAUCCCCCGGCUUAACCUGGGAACUGCGUCUGAUACUGGAGGGCUUGAGUGCGGGAGAGGGAUGUGGAAUUCCAGGUGUAGCGGUGAAAUGCGUAGAUAUCUGGAGGAACACCGGUGGCGAAGGCGGCAUCCUGGACCGACACUGACGCUGAGGAGCGAAAGCCAGGGGAGCAAACGGG
rnacentral:rRNA from 1 species